rnacentral:rRNA from 1 species
GACAGAGGAUGCAAGCAUUAUCCGGAAUGAUUGGGCGUACAGCGUCUGUAGGUGGCUUUUCAAGUCCGCUGUCAAAUCCCAGGGCACAACCCUGGACAGGCGGUGGAAACUACCAAGCUGGAGUACGGUAGGGGUAGAGGGAAUUUCCGGUGGAGCAGUGAAAUGCAUUGAGAUCGGAAAGAACACCAAUGGCGACAACACUCUGCUAGGCCGACACUGACACUGAGAGACGAAAGCUAGGGGAGCAAAUGGG